GACGAACGCUGGCGGCGUGCUUAACACAUGCAAGUCGAGCGGUAAGGCCCUUCGGGUACACGAGCGGCGAACGGGUGAGUAACACGUGGGUGACCUGCCCUUAGCUCUGGGAGUAAGACCACGGGAAACGUACGGGUCUAAUACCGGAGUAUGACCUCAUGACGCAUGUUGUGGGGUGGAAAGACCUUGUGCGGCUAGGGAUGGGCCCGCGGCCUA
rnacentral:rRNA from 1 species